rnacentral:rRNA from 1 species
AUUGAACGCUGGCGGCAGGCCUAACACAUGCAAGUCGAGCGAGCGGCGGACGGGUGAGUAAUGUAUGGGGACUGCCCGAUAGAGGGGGAUAACUACUGGAAACGGUAGCUAAUACCGCAUACUAUCGGAUAACCCAUAUGGGAUUAGCUAGUAGGUGAGGUAAUGGCUCACCUAGGCGACGCUCCCUAGCGGGUCUGAGAGGAUGAUCAGCCAGACGGGGACUGAUACACGGCCCAGACGCCAAGGGAGGCAGCAGUGGGGAAUAGUGCACAAUGGGCGAAAGACUGAUGCAGCCAUGCCGCGUGUAUGAAGAAGGCCCUAGGGUUGUAAAGUACUUUCAGUCGGGAGGCGUUACCGACAGAAGAAGCACCGGCUAACUACGUGCCAGCAGCCGCGGUAAUUC